rnacentral:rRNA from 1 species
GAGACCCACGCCACCAGUUGCCAGCAUGUCCUCCGGGAUGAUGGGGACACUGGUGGGACCGCCUCUGCUAAAGAGGAGGAAGGAAUGGGCAACGGUAGGUCAGCAUGCCCCGAAUUACCCGGGCUACACGCGGGCUACAAUGGGCAGGACAAUGGGUAUCGACACCGAAAGGUGAAGGCAAUCUCCUAACCCUGUCCGUAGUCCGGAUUGUGGGCUGCAACUCGCCCACAUGAAGCUGGAAUCCAUAGUAAUCGCGUCUCAAAAUGGCGCGGUGAAUCU